rnacentral:rRNA from 1 species
UGGGGAAUAUUGCACAAUGGGGGAAACCCUGAUGCAGCGACGCCGCGUGAACGAAGAAGGUAUUCGUAUCGUAAAGUUCUGUCCUAUGGGAAGAUAAUGACAGUACCAUAGAAGAAAGCUCCGGCUAAAUACGUGCCAGCAGCCGCGGUAAUACGUAUGGAGCGAGCGUUGUCCGGAAUUAUUGGGCGUAAAGGGUACGCAGGCGGUUUAAUAAGUCGAAUGUUAAAGAUCGGGGGUCAACCCCGCAAAGCAUUGGAAACUGAUAAACUUGAGUAGUGGAGAGGAAAGUGGAAUUCCUAGUGUAGGGGUGAAAUACGUAGAUAGUAGGAAGGAUAACAGUAGCGAAGGAGGCUUUCUGGACACAAACUGACGGUGGGGUACGAAAGCGUGGGGAGCAAACAGG